UCUCUCGCUCUCUCUCUCUCUCUCUCUCUCUCUCUCUCUCUCUCUCUCUCUCUCUCUCUCGCUAUUGUUUGAAAACAGGGCGGGUGCCUUCCUCCUUCUGAAACCGCCGCCCAUUCCCCUCUCUUCUCCUUCUCCGUCACCGCCUGCUUCUCCUUCUCCGGCCAAACAGCCGCCACCCAUCCCCCUCUCUUUUUCUUUCGACUGCACAACAGCGGUGAGGCCGCCUUUCUCCUUCUGCAACCCUCUAUCUCCGCCGCAACCGCCGUCUCCCUCUCUACCUUUAUCUCAUCUUGCCCAAUUUCUAGAAAUUAUUGAGGCGGUGGACGAUUUUUUCGGCAAAGGGGCGUUUGAUGAAGGGUAUUGUUGUUGUUGGUUGUGGGUACAGAUUAGGGGAGAAAUUGGACGAAGGAGGGAGUGGGGCUGGUGGAAGGGGCAGCGGUUUUGGGUUCACCUCGUCCCUCUGCCGCGUUCUUCCUCUGGAAUCGCCACCGCCCUCCUCUCCAACCCUAGAUCUCUGGUCCGACUGAAAUCCUCUAGCCCCAAUUUCCAACCCCAGAUCUCCACCACCGCAACCGCCAUCUCCACAGGCGCCGCCUAAAAACCCCUAGCCCCAAUUUUCAGAAAUCGUCACAAAAAUCGUCCUAUCUCCAAAUCUCCACCACCAUCUCCAAAUUAGCGGCGGUGGCCGGCGAUGAUUUUGCCAAGAAAUGGAGUGUCGAUUUUGGGUCAUUGUUUGUUUUUUUUUAUUAUUAUUAUUCAAUUCAUUGUGCUGCCUUUUUAAAUUUUGUUGUAAUACACUAUGAAUUGAAAUUUUCAAAUCUGAAUUGGAAUGCACUUGGAAUUUUUGGUUUGAUUGUGCAAUUUGCUUGCGUGAGUUCACGGUUAUGGUGAUAAUUGUGGUCGGCGGCGGCAGUGGUGGUGGUGGUGGUGGUCGGCGGUGGUUUGUAUUGGAACACUGUUACCAUCUUUUUGGAAAGAAACAGUAAUUUAAAAACACUCCAAACAGAAAAAUCGAGAAAAAAAAUAAUGAGAAUAAUUAAAUUAAUUAAAAAUUUUGAAAUUCUGAAUUUUAAAAAUUUAAAAAUCAAUUUGCAAUGUAAAAUAAAAGUAAAUAAAUUCAAUAAAUAAAAGUUAAUCAACUACACUAAUGAUGUGGGCGAC
rnacentral:lncRNA from 1 species